rfam:Salmo salar isolate Sally breed double haploid chromosome ssa24, whole genome shotgun sequence.
AAUGCACCAUCUUGUAAGUCGCUCUGGAUAAGAGCGUCUGCUAAAUGACUUAAA